AUCCUGGCUCAGGACGAACGCUGGCGGCGUGCUUAACACAUGCAAGUCGAACGAUGAUGCCCAGCUUGCUGGGUGGAUUAGUGGCGAMCGGGUGAGUAACACGUGAGUAACCUGCCCCUGAYUCUGGGAUAAGCGUUGGAAACGACGUCUAAUACUGGAUAUGAUCACUGKCCGCAUGGUCUGGUGGUGGAAAGAUUUUUUGGUUGGGGAUGGACUCGCGGCCUAUCAGCUUSUUGGUGAGGUAAUGGCUCACCAAGGCGACGACGGGUAGCCGGCCYGAGAGGGUGACCGGCCACACUGGGACUGAGACACGGCCCAGWCUCCUACGGGAGGCAGCAGUGGGGAAUAUUGCACAAUGGGCGAAAGCCUGAUSCAGCAACGCCGCGUGAGGGAUGWCGGCCUYCGGGUUGUAAACCUCYUUUAGUAGGGAAGAAGCGAAAGUGACGGUACCUSCAGAAAAAGCMCCGGCUAMCUACGYGCCAGCAGCCGCGSUAAUACGUAGGGUGCAAGCGUUGUCCGGAAUUAUUGGGCGUAAAGAGCUCGUAGSCGGUUUGUCGCGUCUGCUGYGAAAUCCCGMGGCUCAACCUCGGGCUUGCAGUGGGUACGGGCAGACUAGAGUGCGGUAGGGGAGAUUGGAAUUCCUGGYGUAGCGSUGGAAUGYGCAGAUAUCAGGAG
rnacentral:rRNA from 1 species